ACACCCGGGAGUGCGACAUUGAUACUGGUGGAGCAGUCGGUCGCUCCUCGCUUCUUGCUUUUUCUUCAGCUUAAAAUACUGUUAAACUACCUUCUUCCCUACCUACCUCCUUUCCUUCCUCUCCCCAGACCUGCCAGCUCUUCGUCACCAAUUUCUCUUUCCGGUCUUGCUCAACCUGCUCGUCCUCCUCCUAUGUCCUCCAUCCAGUUUAGGGUGCUAUUUGCCAUAAGCCUAGAAUUAUUGCCAACUCCUCCUCUGUAAUUCCCCCUGCAGAUUUUGCAGAUCUUUUCUGUCCACUAUAAUGGCGAUAAUGAUCGUAUUGAUGAUUCCUGUUUAUAUGUCUAGGAUUUCUGUAUACUAAAAUACUUGGGGUUUUGGGGGUGGGGAGGGAGGAACAUUGCCAUUUAAAAACUGUUUUUCAGGGGCACCUGGCUGACCCAGUUGGAAGAGCAUGCGACCUUUGAUCUCCUGGUCGUGAGUUUGAGCCCCACGUUUGGUGUAGAGAUUACAUAAAUAAAAUUUUUUUUAAACUGCUGUUUUCAGUCUGUAAUACAGAGAACCUUCAGGUCAUCUUCAUAGCACAUGUCCUUGGUCUGGAAUGAACACUUUGAGAGGCCCCUUUCCUUUGGAUGUAAGGCUAGUACCACCUACCCACGGUUCUGGUAAAAGAGUAUCAAGGAGUAUGUAUUAGCUUGGCAAAGACCUGUAUCUUAGAUGUGUUGAUAAAGUGAGGAAAUGCCCCUGUACUAUUUACAUCUUCUGGGAAGGAAGCUGAACGCAGACUCCUUUUCUUUAAAGUUCCAGGUUUACUGGAAUUUACCCAAAGGACAGAGUAGGAACGGACUGAGGCCAGCUGGCAGCAAAGAACGACACGAGCCCCCAUCAUCGUAGAAUCAGAAAAUUCCCAACCAUGUCAGAGAGAGAGACAGCCAGCGAGAGAGGGAACACAAGCAGGGGGAGUGGGAGAGGAAGAAGCAGGCCCCCGGCAGAGGAGCCUGAUGCGGGGCUCGGUCCUAGAACGCCAGGAUCACGCCCUGAGCCUAAGGGAGAUGCUUAACAACUGUGCUACCCAGGCACCCCUACAAUGCCAUGUAUUAUAAAGCAGCAGUGAUGAAAUUCAUGUGGUGCUGGAUCCAAAAUCAACAGGACUCCUUGGCUGCAGCCCUGGGAAUCACAGAAGAAGAAUAUUUACUUGGAGUGUGCCUAUCCCUAGAGACACUGUCUGGCCCAGGGGUCCAGACUGACGUGUGAAGCCUACUCAACAACUUUCUAGGACCUGACCACCCUCCCUGCUUCACCCCUGUAGUGCUUCACGACCCUGAUGUUCUCCAGGAGGGACCUCGAGGGCCAGGCUGCCCGCAUAUGGAAAGUUCGUUAUGGUUUAACUCGAAAGAAGCAGACUUCUUGGGCUUUUGGUGGUCAGCGUGUGGGGACAGCUAUGAGAGCGGGAAAAAAAAGAGGAAAAUAGGCAUGAAGGAAAAGAUCAUGUAGAAGGAAAAAGGCACAGGGAUGCACACGCGUGCUCACAAGCAAGCAUUUUCAACCCUGGCUCUGAAAUGGUGUGUGUGGGUAAUCUGCUUUCAUUAAGCACCAUCAGCUGACUAGUAACCCCACUGGCGUACCAGCUCCGCCGUGGAGUGUGGGUGGCCCUAGCACUGACUUGUGGAAGCAGCGGCCGUGGCCCAUGCCUGGGAGGGAGCUUCAUGCUGUGCAUUGAUUGAACACAAGGUGGCAGUAUUACCACACCUGAGCUCCCAUGCCUGCCAGGCUCUCCUCACCCUGUUCCCACACGUGGGGUCUGAUGCAGACCGGGAACGAGGAGCACACACACACACACACCUACCUCUGUCCUCCAAAUAAAAUGACAUAAUAUGUUCAA